ensembl:misc_RNA Y_RNA Y RNA
GGCUAGUUCAAAGGUAGUGUCCACAGUCAGUUACAGAUCAGAUCCCUUGUUCUACUCUUUCCUCCGCUCUCAAGACUGCACUUGACUAGUCUUAA